rnacentral:rRNA from 1 species
CCUACGGGUGGCAGCAGUGAGGAAUAUUGGUCAAUGGGCUUACGCCUGAACCAGCCAAGUCGCGUGAGGGAAGACUGCCCUAUGGGUUGUAAACCUCUGUUGUCAGGGAGCAAGUGGCGCUACGUGUAGCGUUAUCGAGAGGACCUGAAGAAAAAGCAGCGGCGAACUCCGUGCCAGCAGCCGCGGUAAUACGGAGGAUGCGAGCGUUAUCCGGAUUGAGUGGGUUGAAAGGGUGCGUAGGCGGAAUGCCAAGUCAGCGGUAAAAUCGCGGGGCUCAACCUCGCUCCGCCGUUGAAACUGGCGUUCUUGAGUGGGCGAGCACUAUGCUGCCUGCGUGGUGUAGCGGUGACCUGCCUCGCUAUCACGCAGCACUCCGAUUGCGCAGGCAGCAUACCGGCGCCCAACUGACGCUGACGCACGCACGCGUGGGUAUCGAACAGGCUUAGAUACCCGGGUAGUC